rnacentral:lncRNA from 1 species
AGAACAACAGACAGUGGAAGGUUCUCCAGAGAACAACAGACAGAGGAAGGUUCUCCUCAGAACAACAGAGAGUGGAAGGUUCUCCAGAGAACAACAGACAGAGGAAGGUUCUCCUCAGAACAACAGUCAGAGGAAGGUUCUCCUCAGAACAACAGACAGAGGAAGGUUCUCCUCAGAACAACAGACAGUGGAAGGUUCUCCAGAGAACAACAGACAGAGGAAGGUUCUCCUCAGAACAACAGUCAGAGGAAGGUUCUCCAGAGAACAACAGUCAGAGGAAGGUUCUCCUCAGAACAACAGACAGAGGAAGGUUCUCCUCAGAACAACAGACAGAGGAAGGUUCUCAUCAGAACAACAGACAGAGGAAGGUUCUCCUCAGGACAACAGACAGAGGAAGGUUCUCCAGAGAACAACAGACAGAGGAAGGUUCUCAUCAGAACAACAGACAGAGGAAGGUUCUCCUCAGAACAACAGACAGAGGAAGGUUCUCCUCAGAACAACAGACACAGGAAGUGGUUUGAUUUUAAUUAAGGAAAGACACUAUCUGCAUCUCUUACUUUCUCUCUCUUUUUUUUUAAUAGAAAUCAUUUUUUGCACAAUAUGAAAAAAUGUUCCUCACAUCUAAGACGAACUAACAUGGUAAAGGAAGUAAAGAAAGGAAGGAGAAGCAUUCAGCAUGGUGGUGUAUAAAUGAGUCUGAUCAGUAAAGACAGACUUCAUCACAGUAGGCAAUGGGAUGGAGACUGGUCCAGGGUCCUUUGUCUUGGGAAUGUCCACGGUAUUUAGCUGUGGGGGAAAUGAGGGAUUGAUAUGAGUUUCAUUUGUUGUUUUGUGAAGUUAUAA